rnacentral:lncRNA from 1 species
CGCAGACGAACGGCCAGAUGGAGCAGGCCAAUCAAAACCCAGAGUCGGCUUUAUGGUGUGUUGCGGCCCAUCAUCCAGCAUCCUGGAGUACACACCUCCCAUGGAUCCAGUAUGCCCAUAACUCCCUCACCUCCCUGGCCACAGGUAUGUUUCCCUUCAUGUGCUGUUUUGGGUAAUCUUAAAUUAAUCAAUCUCAUAUCUCAAGCUGAAAUUCUUAUUUCAGGGACUCCAUUUCUGGAAGAACAAUAACAGACACGAACUUAGAAAAAUAAUGAUCAGUUCAUUACAGGGUAAAUACUGAUACAACACACGUGCAAUAAAUGAUAAGAUAAUGAGGAUAGAUAAUAACAGAUGAAUGAAAGAUUCUGAGUCAGACUACGAUUACUAGUUAAUUAAAGUGAGUGAAUAUGCUCUAACUAACAUAUUAACCUACAUUAACUUUGGUGUAAAGAUAAAUUUGGAUGUGGUUAUUUGAAUUAUGAAGCAUGAGACAGCAUCAGCCCUGUUUGGAGUUCUGGAGGUUUGGAUAGUUAAGUGAGGCUGGUCUUUGGAGAGGAUGAAGCAGGUUCCGAAGGUCCAGGCUACCAGUUUGAGAGGUUCAGCUCUGAAGAGGACCAAAGUCAGACAAAGGACAGGCCAGGAGUCACAGCACACAGGCCUGAAUGCAAAAACCAGCGUGUUAUGUAUCCUUUGGAUGCUCCUUUAGUCUCACUUAAUCUUGAAUUGCUAUGUGCACAAAAAGUUGUAGUUUCACAACUUGAACUAAGACGAUGUUAAAAAAAAAUCAAACAACGUGAAUAAACACAUGGCACAAAACUUAAAGACUAAGAAAAAAAGUAAGUCAAAGAGAAAACAAGCUAAGAGGGAACUUAACAAGAGGGAAAAGCGAGAGGCAAGAGGGCGAGAGGAAAAAAAAAUUAAGAGGGAGAGCACCCCAACUUUACUGGCUUUAUCCUCUUCAAACUGGGAGUGUCUCUAAGGUGUGAGGAGACAAAGGAGGGGGUCCUGAUCUCCAGCUGCAGCUCCCUGAGAGGAGACUUUCAAGAGCCCUGAUUGUUUGAUCCAACUUAUACUUUGGCUAGUAAACGGGUCAGAUCGAAUAUUCACUCACUAUGAUUAAUGUUAAGGAAUGCUUGGUUCAUAAUAAAGGAUCUGAUGCUAAACACAUAUAAAGAAUUGUAAAAUCACAUUAACGAACAUUCUCAUUAUGCUUUGAGUAUCACUUUUCAAAGAACAUUGAUCAUGUUAAAUUACUCUGAGAUGAAACAGAUAGUAACACAGAAACUGUGAAUAACACAAGGGUAAACAAAUGUAAAUGAACUUCAUAACAGUUAAUCGUGGAUUCUACAAACCAACAUUCAUAUUAUUAACUAACAGUAUAACUACCUUAUGGUCAACAAAGCUAAACAAAUGAUUAAGAGAUAAACUAAACAUUUCUACACUAUUCCUACAAGAAUAGGUUUGUAAUUCAAACAUAAUAACUUCAGCUCUUAAAAGUUCAUGAAACAGUUUGGAAAGCUGUUAAUCUCAAGGAACUUUCGGACUGAAGGAUUUAUUGAUUCAGUGUGAGAUCUUGGCUUGUGAACAUGAUAGGCAGAUGGGACAAAGACUGUUUUACUGCACAUGUUGAGCACUGACAGAAGAUCAUGGUGUAGUGUCCAUCCAACCUGUAAUUGAACUAGUUGUAGUUAUUCUCUUUGGACUGUACUCACAGAGAGCACAGGGAAGAUCAACCAAAUUUAGGAUUUAUGGCUGAGCUGGUAAACCUGGCACUUCCUAGUCAAGGUGUGAUGACAGAUGUUUAUCUGAUCUAUCUGAUCGAGUGGUCCUGCAGUUCUUUCCUGCUGGCCAUAAACAGUGUCCGACUGACCAUUUUGCACAGAUUGCAAUUGGCUGUUGAACUGUUUUCACUAUCUAGGUCAAAAUAUUUGAUACUGCUUAUGUUUCAAACAUUCAAUUACCACAUUUGCCCCAUGACAGUUUCUGACAGUAAAGAAUGCGAAAAUAAACAGGCCCAUGCAUGGAUGCAACAGAUGUGAAACCGAUAAGCAGAAAAGGGGAGAGAGAAGAGUUCAAAAUGCCAAUGUUUAGUUGUUGUUUUUUUUUUACUUUGCUGGGACUAGAAUUAAUUUGUUUAAUAUCUUUUAAACUAAAUGGUUUGUGGAACAGUACUGCUGCAGAUGUCAUAUUGUUUAUGGUCAUUAGCUCAGCUUCAGUUGAAACUUGGAGAGGUUAUUUUACUCUGUGAUAAUUAAAAGAAUGUCUUUGACAGGAUGAGUUAUUUUGUGGUAUACACCAAGGUGUGUUUAUCUUUGUUUGCAUGAUUUGCUUUGAAAACUCAACACUGCUCCUGCAUCGCAUCGCAAAUGAACACUAAUCCACGUUCAAAUAAUUUUAUACAUGUGCAAUCUGGAAUUUGUUUUACUUUGACAUGAACAAAUCUGUGUUUAGUUGAAGGUAUUUUAAUAUGUUUGUUUUUUGGUGUAAUUAGUACUAAUGUUUCUCAAAUUUUCCUCCAUUUAAAGGACAUCAUGUUUAACAGGCCAAAAAAAUGUAUUACGAGAUACAUUUAAAGAAAUCAGGUUACAGCAGAAAAAAAGACAGCUUUGGUGAAACAUUGUUCAAGUUGUAGUUGACAUUAAAACAAGGUCAAUUUUCAUUUGCACUAUAAUAGCAUUAGCUGAAGUAAGAUUGCACAGUGUCAAGUUACUUCCCUCAAAUUGUUCUGAUACUUAAGCUAAAAUGCAUUAAUAAUUCGUAAAAAAAGCAGUCAUCAAGGGUUGUUUUCAGCAGCACUUGGUGUUUCCUGGACACCAAAAAUUCAUUUAUCUUGAAAUGGGUUUUUGAGGGUCAAUCAAAAUAGAAACAAAACAGAUCAUCACUCUUUUAUUGACAGAUUUUUAGGUGAAAGAAACUAGUUGGGUGAACAGCUACUAAAGAACAAGGACAGUGUGUUCUCAGUUUUUGCCAACUGGGACGGAGACACCCUACAUGACAAAUUCAAGAACAGUCAUUGAACUUAUUUUUAGAUGGUUAAUCACCUCUGAGAUCUGUUGUGCCAUGACUCAUGAUUCUGAUAACCUAGAGCAAAAAGCCUCAGUAACACAGAGCAUACAGGAGAAAAACAACCAAGUCUGAUCAGGGGAUAAAAUAUUUUUCUCUGACUGUGAAAACUUGCACAACUGGGAAGAGUUAUGAAAGAUCUAUUCUUUAUAAUCUGGUGUUGCUUUAACCUGAUGGAUGAUUUCUGUCAGCGCAAUGAAUAAGGAGUUACAUUCCUUAAUGAGCAAAAAUUAAGUUUAUACCUGUUUUUAUGACACACUAUUUCCAAACUUUGGUAAUUUCAGUCAAGAGUGAUAGUGUCAAAGACUGUAAUGUCUGUACCUUAUUCUGCUGUUAUUGGCAUACAAGGUUAGCCUGUCUUAAAGAAAUAUGCACAGUACACAUACAAAAAUCUGCAGUUGAGUUUUCUGUGUACAAUGUUCAGUGUUUAGGGAGGUCAUGCCCCAGACAAGUAUCCCAUGUUAUGAAAAACCACAGCUUACUCUAAAACUGAUAGAAAUUGAACUAAAACUAAGCCAAAGUCAAGGUAACAAAAAAAAAAAAAAAACCUGGCAAGAAUUUCAAAAGUACUCUUACCCUUUGUCCCCUCCAUUACGCGAAGUGCUGUGGUUUAUUGAUCAUUUAAAUCAUGUAGAUAGAAGUAAGGAUAUUUAUACUCUGAGGACUUAAGACUUGACUCGGACUCAGAGUUAAGUGACUGGGUGAAGUUCUACUGAUGUGUCAGCAAGGUCUUGUUAUGUUCCUGAGCAGCAUUACAACUUCCCCAGAGUUAAGUAGAACUCAUUCUGCCAUGACACUGUAAUGAUCUCACAUGGACCUCAAUGUAAGGAUGAUAUUCAGAAUGGUCCUAUUUUUGUGAGCAGGGAAUGGAUAAAAUAAUUUUUAAAAAGCCUUUUAAUUUUAUGUUCUUUGGUGACAAAGAAAAUAUCAGCCAUUGGCUCAUCAUAAUAUUUUUUGGCAGAAGACACUGGCUUUGUCAUGUCAUGUCAUGUCAUGUCAUGUCGUUAAAGAAUUAUCCUAAAUUACAGAAGAUUUUAUUUUGAAAAAAUAUUGGGGACAUAACAGAAGAAGAAUUUUCCAGAAACUUUUCGGAGUUAUCAUAAGAUGUAACACCUAUUUUGAGAAACUUGUCAAGAAAAUUUUACUUCUUGCAGUGACAGAUAAUUUUCAUGUGUUGAUCAAGAGGUCAACUGUUUGUAGGCUUGGCUGAAAAAGCAGAAGUGCCAGUCUCUCCCAGUCAGUGUUUUGAUAAGUUACAGUGUGACCUCUUUACAGGAUUGUUUUAAUUUGAUACCCGCCCAGUUAAACCUCUUUACUGGCAGGACCUAAGCAGGAAGUCUUAUUUCCAAGCAUUGUAUUGUAUUGCACUGGUAUGUUGAGUACUAUUACUUUGUUCUGUGUCCAAAGCACUCAGCCCAAGGCAACAAGAGCUUGUGGGUUCUGAAUGUGAUGCUCUGUCACAUUUUGGUUUUCCGAGGGUAAUUAAGAGUAAUUAGGAGUGUAUGCAAGCUAUUGUUAGCAAAUAAUUAGUACACAUGGAGAAGAAGUUUGGCACACUUUACAUUUCUUUGCUGAAGCAACACAAAAAUUUGCUCCACCUGUUUAUGAUAUAGUGCAUUAAAAUGUGUUGCAAUGACAAAUUAAAAAAGAACCUCCUCAAAUGCAACAGUUGGUCACCGAACCCCUGCAGAUGACAUCAAAAACUCUGCAGGAGUAAAGUCAAUGUUUAUGUUUUGUUUCUGUUGUUUUGUCGUGUACAGACGUACUAUGUAAAACAUGGCCAUAAAGAACCGAGUCAAGCAGUGAAAUCUUUUGUGACGUGUUAAUCCCUAACUCUGAAGCUCCUGAG